rnacentral:tRNA from 1 species
UUAGAUGGAUUAUAACUAAUCCCAUAAACA